GCAUUGGUGGUUCAAUGGUGGAAUUCUUGCCUCCCAUGUCGAAGAUCUGAGUUUGAUUCCCAGCCAGUACA
rnacentral:tRNA from 1 species